rnacentral:tRNA from 1 species
GGGCCUGUAGUUCAAUGGUAGAAUGCCUCCCUUGCACGGAGGAGGUUUCGGGUUCGAAUCCCGACGGGUCCA